GGGUUAAGUAUCGACCAAUAUUAGCCUGUGCAGUAUAGGUGGGUUAAGUAUCGACCAAUAUUAGCCUGUGCAGUGUAGGUGGGUUAAGUAUCGGCCAAUAUUAGCCUGUGCAGUAUAGGUGGGUUAAGUAUCGGCCAAUAUUAGCCUGUGCAGUAUAGGUGGGUUAAGUAUCGGCCAAUAUUAGCCUGUGCAGUAUAGGUGGGUUAAGUAUCGGCCAAUAUUAGCCUGUGCAGUAUAGGUGGGUUAAGUAUCGGCCAAUAUUAGCCUGUGCAGUAUAGGUGGGUUAAGUAUCGGCCAAUAUUAGCCUGUGCAGUAUAGGUGGGUUAAGUAUCGGCCAAUAUUAGCCUGUGCAGUAUAGGUGGGU